UAAGAAGAACACCCAGGAAACUUUCUAGAGGAUAUUGAGAAUGACCUAGUGAAGCCUCAUUCAUCUCUCAUUUCUGCACUACAAGGACGCUGCCCAGCUUUUGCUCUUUAAUCUGUUUUAGAAGUGCUUGGACUAUCUUUUUUUCUCUUAUCAAAAAGUUUAAGUUAGAGUGUGGGUUAGAAUCUUUUUUAAAAAGCUGACAUUUCUUCCCUUAGAAAACUGCCAUUCUUCUUUACACAGAUGUACCUGCUUACAGAGAUAUACUAUUUUUAUUCACUUUUUCAUCUUUACCCUGCAGAUACAUAAAAUGUAGAUAACCAAUAAAAUCUGCAGGGUAAUGUUAUGAAGUCAGUUCUAAAAUGAGUGAACAGAAGGAGAAGGACAUGUUUAUUACUCGGAUUUUAUUAUACUAUGUAUUGCAAAUAGCUUUGCCCAAGUUGGGAAGGGAACACGGCAGGUCUUGAUGCUGCUGCUAACCUAGUUGUUACUUUGUCUCUAGAUUCCUGGGUAUGGCAUCUCCAUACCAAUCUGAAAACAUAAGAGAGCUCGAAGAAAAGCAUAGACUCAGAUGCAAUAAUCACUUGGGUUCUCUGAGUGAACAGCCUUGGGUAGCCACCAUCCAGAGCAGUGGAGACAUCACCAGUCCCAGAAGUCCCUGAUGUCCCUUCCAGUCACGACUCUGUCCCCUCGCCUAGGUAAUCAAUCACUAGCCUGCCUCCUCUUCUAACAUCUUUAAAUACUUUUGACUUUUUUUUUCAAUUUUUUUUUAAUUUUGAAAAUUUCAAAUUAGGUUAACUGAAAUAACAGUACAAUGAACACUCAUAUUUUCCUUACCCAGAUUCACUGAUUGCUAACAUUUUGCCGUAUUUUCUUAUUUCUCUGAACCAUUCUAAAGUUGUAAACAUCAUGUUUUCCCCCAAAU
rnacentral:lncRNA from 1 species